rnacentral:rRNA from 1 species
UACGGGGGGGGGCAAGCGUUGUUCGGAAUUACUGGGCGUAAAGGGCUCGUAGGCGGCCAACUAAGUCAGACGUGAAAUCCCCCGGCUUAACCAGGGACUGCGUCUGAUACUGGAUGGCUUGAGUUUGGGGGAGGGAUGCGGAAUUCCUGGUGUAGCGGUGAAAUGCGCAGAUAUCAGGAAGAACACCCGUGGCGAAGGCGGCUCUCUGGGACGGUACUGACGCUGAGACGCGAAAGCGUGGGGAGCGAACAGG